rnacentral:lncRNA from 1 species
CUCGGGUUCGAUCCCUGGCCUGGGAACUUCUACAUGCCACAGGUACAUCCAAAAAUAAAUAAAAAUAAAUCUCCUCCUGUCUUCCACCAAGUGAAAUGUGAGUUUGGAAAGGGAAAAAUUCUCAACAGUGCAUCUCAGUUUCAGAGAAAUCAUGACAGCUCUGCCAGCUCAAGGCUCAAAGUCUUGAGUACCCAGCCCUUCAGUUUUAGGUAGGGCAUAGGUGUCAACCAGCAGGCUGAGUUGAUAACAAUCACUUUGUGACCCAACCACCCUCCCACACCCCCACCAAAUCAGCUAGAUAGAAUCUGGCAGGGCUGAUAAAUUGCUACCUUAGACAGGUGGAAGCAAGGGGGAAAUGCAGGCCAAAAGACAGCAAAAAAAGAAGCUUGCAAAAACGAAAGCAAAAAAACCUGAGACUGAACCCUAAUGCAUCUGGUGCAGGCUCUUGCAAAUUCCCAGCUGCAUGAGGACCAAAUUAGUUAAUAAGAAAUGAAUACAAAAAUGCCUGAGCUCAGUGGAGCUGUCCUGAGUUUCAUUUCCUGAGAAGGAGCUUCUAACAGUGAUCCAGGAAAUUCUGGCCACCUGCAGUGUGCAAAGGCAGCUGGCCAGGCAAGGAAGCUGGCGCCAGGUCCCAGGGCCCCUCCCUGGAGGGAGCAAAGGCCUCUCGGGUUGCAGCUGCAGAAAGAGGGAGGAGAGAAGAGGGACAGGAUGGAGUGGAGAGCCUUGGAGGCAGUGGUUUGGACAUCAACUCGGUCCUGAGGUUGUCAAGUUUAAUCCUCAACUCCUGCAAGUUCCCAGAAGCAGACAUUCUUUUUUUUUUUUUUUUUUUUUUUUUUUUUGCAUUGUUCUGUUCCGGGAGCUACGAACUCAAGUGUCUACAGAACAUGUCAGAUAGCAUAAACAAGAGAAGUGGCCAAGGCUAAUAAAGAUCAUUCAGCUCUCUUGGUCUGGCUUUUG